GGGAGUUUGGUCUAGUGGUAUGAUUCUCGCUUAGGGUGCGAGAGGUUGUGGGUUCAAUUCCCGCAACUCCCC
rfam:Volvox carteri f. nagariensis unplaced genomic scaffold VOLCAscaffold_304, whole genome shotgun sequence.